CUUUAACAAUCUGGAACAAGCUGAAAAUUUGAAACAAUCAGUAGCGUCGGAAGACGGUAUUGAUGAGUCUCUCAAAACUCCAGUCCGAAGACAC
rnacentral:sRNA from 1 species